rnacentral:tRNA from 1 species
AGGGUGUAGCUCAGGGGCAGAGUGUGUGCUUGGCAUGCAUGAGGUCCUAGGUUCAAUCCCCAGUAUCUCUG